rnacentral:rRNA from 1 species
CGGGGUGAGUAACGCGUGGGUAACCUGCCUUAUACAGGGGGAUAACAGUCAGAAAUGGCUGCUAAUACCGCAUAAGCGCACAGAGCUGCAUGGCUCAGUGUGAAAAACUCCGGUGGUAUAAGAUGGACCCGCGUUGGAUUAGCUGGUUGGUGGGGUAACGGCCCACCAAGGCGACGAUCCAUAGCCGGCCUGAGAGGGUGAACGGCCACAUUGGGACUGAGACACGGUCCAG